rnacentral:rRNA from 1 species
AGUGAACGCUGGCGGUAGGCCUAACACAUGCAAGUCGAACGGCAGCACAGUAAGAGCUUGCUCUUACGGGUGGCGAGUGGCGGACGGGUGAGGAAUACAUCGGAAUCUACUUUUUCGUGGGGGAUAACGUAGGGAAACUUACUCUAAUACCGCAUACGACCUACGGGUGAAAGCAGGGGAUCUUCGGACCUUGCGCGAUUGAAUGAGCCGAUGUCGGAUUAGCUAGUUGGCGGGGUAAAGGCCCACCAAGGCGACGAUCCGUAGCUGGUCUGAGAGGAUGAUCAGCCACACUGGAACUGAGACACGGUCAAGACUCCUACGGGAGGCAGCAGUGGGGAAUAUUGGACAAUGGGCGCAAGCCUGAUCCAGCCAUACCGCGUGGGUGAAGAAGGCCUUCGGGUUGUAAAGCCCUUUUGUUGGGAAAGAAAAGCAGCAGGUUAAUACCCCGCUGUUCUGACGGUACCCAAAGAAUAAGCACCGGCUAACUUCGUG